rnacentral:lncRNA from 1 species
GAAAUUCAUUAUGUCUGGGAGAAAGUAAGAUUUCUAUCCACUGUAUGAAAUGUGUUUUCCUAUGAAUUUUCAAAAGUAUCAUCUCACGAGCCUACCACAAAGAGGUGCUCUAAACCCACAGUAGCUGUUGAGAACAGCUCUACCAAGAACAGACAGAACUGCUGCAAGCUCACCUCAAGCCUCUGCAAGAAGUGUAUGGCUUUGACCGAUUCAAUCAA